UACGAAGGGGGCUAGCGUUGUUCGGAAUUACUGGGCGUAAAGCGCACGUAGGCGGACUUUUAAGUCAGAUGUGAAAUCCCGAGGCUCAACCUCGGAACUGCAUUUGAAACUGGGAGUCUAGAGAUCAGGAGAGGUUAGCGGAAUACCGAGUGGUAGAGGUGAAAUUCGUAGAUAUUCGGUGGAACACCAGUGGCGAAGGCGGCUAACUGGACUGAUACUGCACGCUGAGGUGCGAAAUGUGGGGAGCAACAGUAGAUACCCGGUAGUCC
rnacentral:rRNA from 1 species